AGAGCGAACGCUGGCGGCAGGCUUAACACACGCAAGUCGAGCGCCCGUAGCAAUACGGGAGCGGCAGACGGGAGAGUAACACGUGGGAACAUGCCCUUCGGUUCGGAAUAACUCAGGGAAACUUGAGCUAAUACCGGAUACGUCCGUAAGGAGAAAGAUUUAUCGCCGAAGGAUUGGCCCGCGUCCGAUUAGCUUGUUGGUGAGGUAAUGGCUCACCAAGGCGACGAUCGGUAGCUGGUCUGAGAGGAUGAUCAGCCUCACUGGACUGAGACACGGCCCAGACUCUUACGGGAGGCAGCAGUGGGGAAUAUUGGACAAUGGGCGAAAGCCUGAUCCAGCCAUGCCGCGUGGUGAUGAAGGCCUUAGGUGUAAAGCCCUUUAGGCGGGAAGUAUAAUGAACGGUACCGCGAGAAGAACGCCCG
rnacentral:rRNA from 1 species